GGAGGGUGCAAGCGUUAUCCGGAUUCACUGGGGUUUAAAGGGGUGCGUAGGCGGGUAUUUAAGUCAGUGGUGAAAUCCUAGAGCUUAACUCUAGAACUGCCAUUGAUACUAUUUAUCUUGAAUAUUGUGGAGGUAAGCGGAAUAUGUCAUGUAGCGGUGAAAUGCUUAGAUAUGACAUAGAACACCUAUUGCGAAGGCAGCUUACUACGCAUAUAUUGACGCUGAGGCACGAAAGCGUGGGAUCAAACAGGAUUAGAUACCCUGGUAGUCCACGCCCUAAACGAUGGAUACUCGACAUACGCGAUACACUGUGUGUGUCUGAGCGAAAGCAUUAAGUAUCCCACCUGGGAAGUACGACCGCAAGGUUG
rnacentral:rRNA from 1 species